rnacentral:piRNA from 1 species
UGGCCCUGGGACACGUGUAACA